UGUUGCGCUCGGCGGUUCCUUUCGGUUGGUUCGCGCCAAAAGUGAGCGCCAAAUGCCAAACUUUUGAGCGGGUCACUUGGACUCGAUUUUGCGAGAACGGCAGCAACGACACCGUGCGAUUUUGGUCAGUACGUGGCGGCGGAAGCUGCGAGGCAGGUGGCCUGACACGAACAGUCACGGGCGACAGCUGACCUGGCCGAGCACCACUCUCAAGAACCAGUCUCCUUAUGCCGAGAAUGGGCUGCAACACUAAAUCGAUCAUGCGCUGCGAGGGAUUCUCCUUCACGGUGGAAAUCGCCCAGCCAAAGAAAGUCCAGCGGAGAAGCCAAAACUAGCAACGGUGUCCAUCACCCCGAAGUAGCCACGGAAGCGGACCAUUUGUCCGAUCAGCGGCAGUACUUGGCGGGCACUCGGAAACUCCAAUGGCUGCACCGCGAGCAAGGAACGUUCGAACAGCCCGAACGCGAGAAGCAGGUCUUGCGGUAUGCGGAAGCUCGCUCCGCCUUCCAAAGAAACUGUCACGCCUGCAGAAUCGGCGAGCCCUUGCCAGGGUGGACGCCGUUCGCGCCCGUUAUCAAUAAUUCAGCCGACUCGAGUGCGGUCUGUCUGUGCACCUAAAACGCCGUCCGGCCGCGUACGAACGGCCACUGCGACGGCUGCAUUGGGAAACGGGAAGUGUCUGCCCACUCGCCUGUUCAAAGAGAGAGGAAGUAGCAGACGAAAGGCAGACAGGUUAAUCAGAUCAACUGUGUACGAUGGGCUACACUUCGUCGGGAGAUGUGGAGAGCAGGCAUGAAGAUAAUCUGUCCGCACGAACACGAGGAAGGCAACUUAGGACGAUAGCUUUCUUCACUCAGUCUCGAUGCUUUAAAAGAGAAGCACACCAGCGCUUUUAGAGCAACUCGGGCACAAUAAUUCCGUUUUCUGCAGGUUAGGUCAAACCUGUCAACCGUGGUGCACAACUUAUUUCUUUGUACUCUGAAACGAGUGCAUUCACGCGCAAGAGAGUCAAAAGAACCGAGUUAUAAGCUGCAUCUUGUAAGUCGGCCAAAUUGCUCUAGUUAAUAGCUGGGCCGGUAUUUUGUAGCGAUGCCUUUUCCGAUUCUAUGCUUUUUCUGGCUUUUCGUGCUUGGCCAGUGGUCAGAGCGACGGUCUGCCCACAUUAUCAACGGGAUCAGGUGGCCGUGUGUGGUGGAUGAUAAGAAUAACAUAGAAUAAUGCAUAAGGCAUCGCUACAAAAUAGCGGCCCUGAUCAUAUUGAUCCCACAACAGCAGGAAGGGGAAGAUAUUCAUCGGCAGUUUAUGUAAGCCCACCACCGUCCUUACCCUUUAGACUAGUGGUGGCCAAAGAAGGGCAAGUUGAAGUGUCUUAAAGCGUUGUUUUGCUCUGGGUUGUGUCAAACAGGUGUCAACUAACUUUUCCAUGAAUCUGGCCCAGAUCUCACCGGAAAAUGGCUCAUGCCUGAAAACUACGAAAUAAGUCAGACUCGGAAGCCACGUGUCAAUGACUGUAUGCGCUAAGCAUAUCAAAUGUCACGCACCCAUGCCUAUGCGCUAUUUAUCUCUAUACUGAAUGUUUCAGACGGAGUGUUCAACAUUGGUCUUCGCUCUAAUAAUGCGGUGCACCGCUCCGUAACUCUUGUCACUUAGCGCAUCUGCAAGCGGGUGAAUUCAUCCACCAAGAGGCGGUUCGUGUUAUAGCUCAGAACGACAGAAAGCUGAGCUAGUUGGCAAGGAUUCAUUAAGCAAAAAAGGUGAGGC